AGUGAACGCUGGCGGUAGGCCUAACACAUGCAAGUCGAACGGCAGCACAGGAGAGCUUGCUCUCUAGGUGGCGAGUGGCGGACGGGUGAGGAAUACAUCGGAAUCUGCCCAGUCGUGGGGGAUAACGUAGGGAAACUUACGCUAAUACCGCAUACGACCUUCGGGUGAAAGAGGGGGAUCGCAAGACCUCUCGCGAUUGGAUGAGCCGAUGUCGGAUUAGCUAGUUAGCGGGGUAAUGGCCCACCAAGGCGACGAUCCAUAGCUGGUCUGAGAGGAUGAUCAGCCACACUGGAACUGAGACACGGUCCAGACUCCUACGGGAGGCAGCAGUGGGGAAUAUUGGACAAUGGGCGCAAGCCUGAUCCAGCCAUACCGCGUGGGUGAAGAAGGCCUUCGGGUUGUAAAGCCCUUUUGUUGGGAAAGAAAUCUUUCAGGCUAAUACCCUGGGAGGAUGACGGUACCCAAAGAAUAAGCACCGGCCAACUUCGUG
rnacentral:rRNA from 1 species